GAUCCUGGCUCAGGAUGAACGCUAGCUACAGGCUUAACACAUGCAAGUCGAGGGGCAGCAUUUCAGUUUGCUUGCAAGCUGAGGAUGGCGACCGGCGCACGGGUGAGUAACACGUAUCCAACCUGCCGAUAACUCCGGGAUAGCCUUUCGAAAGAAAGAUUAAUACCGGAUGGCAUAUGAUUAUCGGCAUGAUAAUCCUAUUAAAGAAUUUCGGUUAUCGAUGGGGAUGCGUU
rnacentral:rRNA from 1 species